AUGGACUGCAGGACAGUGCUGCUGAUUUUGACUGUCUGCUAUGCAGGUGUUGAUGGUCAGACUCUGACUCAGUCUGAACCUGUGGUUAAAAGGCCCGGAGAAUCCCACAGACUGACCUGUACAGGCUCUGGAUUCACAUUCAGCAGCUACUGGAUGCACUGGAUCAGACAGGCUCCUGGAAAAGGGCUGGAGUGGAUUGCUUUCAUUUAUACUGAUAGUAGUGGCAUGUUCUACUCUGAUUCAGUCAGAGGCCGGUUUACCAUCGCCAGAGACAACAGCAAACAGCAGCUGUAUCUGCAGAUGAACAGUCUGCAGAUACAGACUGAAGAUUCUGCCGUUUAUUAUUGUGAUCGAGACUCACAGUGA